rnacentral:rRNA from 1 species
UACGAAGGGGGCUAGCGUUGCUCGGAAUCACUGGGCGUAAAGCGCACGUAGGCGGCUUUUUAAGUCAGGGGUGAAAUCCUGGAGCUCAACUCCAGAACUGCCUUUGAUACUGAGAGCUUGAGUCCGGGAGAGGUGAGUGGAACUGCGGAGUGUAGAGGUGAAAUUCGUAGAUAUUCGCAAGAACACCAGUGGCGAAGGCGGCUCACUGGCCCGGUACUGACGCUGAGGUGCGAAAGCGUGGGGAGCAAACAGG